GCCCGACUAGCUCAGUUGGUAGAGCAUGGGAUUCUUGAUCUCAGGAUCGUAGGUUUGAGCCUCAUGUGGGGCA